CCUACGGGAGGCAGCAGUAGGGAAUCUUCCGCAAUGGACGAAAGUCUGACGGAGCAACGCCGCGUGAACGAUGAAGGCCUUCGGGUCGUAAAGUUCUGUUGUUAGGGAAGAACAAGUGCUAGUUGAAUAAGCUGGCACCUUGACGGUACCUAACCAGAAAGCCACGGCUAACUACGUGCCAGCAGCCGCGGUAAUACGUAGGUGGCAAGCGUUGUCCGGAAUUAUUGGGCGUAAAGCGCGCGCAGGCGGUUUCUUAAGUCUGAUGUGAAAGCCCCCGGCUCAACCGGGGAGGGUCAUUGGAAACUGGGAAACUUGAGUGCAGAAGAGGAAAGUGGAAUUCCAAGUGUAGCGGUGAAAUGCGUAGAGAUUUGGAGGAACACCAGUGGCGAAGGCGACUUUCUGGUCUGUAACUGACGCUGAGGCGCGAAAGCGUGGGGAGCAAACAGGAUUAGAUACCCUGGUAGUCCACGCUGUAAACGAUGAGUGCUAAGUGUUAGAGGGUUUCCGCCUUUAGUGCUGAAGUUAACGCAUUAAGCACUCCGCCUGGGGAGUACGGUCGCAAGACUGAAACUUAAGGAAUUGACGG
rnacentral:rRNA from 1 species